AGGAAAAUAUCACUUGGAAGUCAUCCAGACUAUUGUAAUCAUCCUCAUUCUGUCUCAAGUUGUUUUCUGUGAUGGGCCUUGCUGGAAAGAGCUUUCUGAUGGCACGGCUGUGAGUGAAACCAGCACAAUAUGUUCACCGUGGAGGACCUCCUGAUUUCUCAUGAAUACAAAUUGUUUAAAAAACUCCCUGCUUCAUUCAAGAACAGCAUUUAUUGAUGUCCACAGAAAAAAGGAAUCAAAAUCCAGGAAAGAGGGAGCCUAUCAGAAAAAAAUGCAGAAGACCCUAGAAGAACUAGAGGUAAUUACAGAUCACAGAUGACCUUCAGCUGAUAUCAUUGAGCCCUGACCUGCCUCAGUGAUCUGCUCACACAGAAUACAUAUGCUGAACAGUGCUGGUGUGUGCAGUAGGGCACUUUCCUUCAUUAUCUGUCCUUGGUUUCACGUGCCUGAUUUCCCACUAUCAGGGAGACAAGGAGUUCUGGAUGAAGCAAUCUUUUUCUCACAACAUGGCUACCAGCUCAGUGGCGAGAAACACCUUGUUGGCUCCCAUGAAGGUUACCGAAUUGCAAGCUGUGCACGGGUCUUUAAAGCAGAAUUCUUUAGAUCGUGAGAGUCUGUAAUAGGACAUAAAUGGACAUUUCAUCUAUAAAAUGCCUACUCAUACACCGUCCUCACACCACAGCUAAUGCAUCAAAACCUGAAAUAGUUUCUGUGCGACAAUUUAUUUCCCUGGCCACAGAAAAUAAUGUCUUGUAUUAUCAAUAGAUUUUCCAUAGUACUUAGAUGUUCUGCUAAGAUAUCUUACAAACUUGUGCUGUGAGCUGUAUUU
rnacentral:lncRNA from 1 species